GUACAGAUACUUGUUUAAGAGGGAUUUGGGUUUCUACUACCACAUGAGACAAGGAACGUAGGACAUCUUUUCUGUUUUGUCCAGUACCUGGCAGCUGGUUUGAGAAACGUCACCCUGGAAGUAGCCUCAACUCUGAGGAAACUCAAAGGCAAGUAAAAUACAGGUCUGUACUGGUCCCUCUGUUAACAGCAAUCUGCAGCAGAAAAAUGGGCUUCAGUAUUCAAGUCUGCGGCUGAGUUGGGGAGCUGGGGACGGUAACCAGUUCCAAAAAAAAGCAGCUUAGUGUGAAAUUUGUGGGAAAGAUGCUGUUCAGAGUUUAAUUUCAUUAUUUAGUUAACCAAUGAAAAUCCAGCAGAAAAAAAAGGUAAAUAAUUUUAGGAGAUGGUAAAAACUAUUUGAAAAAUGGGAAUUUCAUUGACAUAAUUUUUUGGAAAUAGAACAUUCAGUCAUUAGAGUUGAAAGCUGAAUAAAUGAAUACACGAUCGAAUGAA